rnacentral:rRNA from 1 species
GUAGGGAAUAUUGCGCAAUGGACGAAAGUCUGACGCAGCGACGCCGCGUGAGUGAUGAAGGCCUUAGGGUCGUAAAGCUCUGUUGAAUGGGAAGAAAAAAAUGACGGUACCAUUCGAGGAAGGACCGGCUAACUUCGUGCCAGCAGCCGCGGUAAUACGAGGGGUCCUAGCGUUGUUCGGAAUCAUUGGGCGUAAAGGGUGUGUAGGUGGCCAUGUAAGUCAGGUGUGAAAGCCCCGGGCUCAACCCGGGAAGUGCACUUGAUACUGCGUGGCUUGAGUACCGAAGAGGGUAGUGGAAUUCCAGGUGUAGUGGUGAAAUACGUAGAUAUCUGGAGGAACACCGGUGGCGAAGGCGGCUACCUGGUCGAGUACCGACACUGAGACACGAAAGCAUGGGGAUCAAACAGGAUUAGAUACCCGUGUAGUCC